ensembl:lncRNA
GGCGAGGUGGGAGUAGGGGGUAGUGGUAGGGUGUAGUCAGGGGCUAGGUGAGGGUAGGGGGUAGCGGUAGGGUGUAGUCAGGGGCUAGGUGAGGUAGGGGGUAGCGGUAGGGUGUUGUCAGGGGCUAGGUGAGAGUAGGGGGUAGCGGUAGGGUGUUGUCAGGGGCUAGGUGAGAGUAGGGAGUAGGGGGUAGUGGUAGGGUGUUGUCAGGGGCUAGGCGAGAAGUAGGGGUAGUGGUUGGAUAUAGUCAGGGGCUAGGUGAGAGUAGGGCGUAACGGUAGGGUGUAGUCAGGGGCUAGGUAAUAGCAGGGGUAGCGGUAGGGUGUAGUCAUGGGCUAGGU